AGGGCUGUAGUUCAGUGGUAGAGCAUUUGCUUUGCAUGCAGAAGGUCCCAGAUUAAAUCUCUAGCACCUCCA